AUUGAACGCUGGCGGCAGGCCUAACACAUGCAAGUCGAACGGUAACAGGAAGAAGCUUGCUUCUUUGCUGACGAGUGGCGGACGGGUGAGUAAUGUCUGGGAAACUGCCUGAUGGAGGGGGAUAACUACUGGAAACGGUAGCUAAUACCGCAUAACGUCGCAAGACCAAAGAGGGGGACCUUCGGGCCUCUUGCCAUCGGAUGUGCCCAGAUGGGAUUAGCUAGUAGGUGGGGUAACGGCUCACCUAGGCGACGAUCCCUAGCUGGUCUGAGAGGAUGACCAGCCACACUGGAACUGAGAUACGGUCCAGACUCCUACGGGAGGCAGCAGUGGGGAAUAUUGCACAAUGGGCGCAAGCCUGAUGCAGCCAUGCCGCGUGUAUGAAGAAGGCCUUCGGGUUGUAAAGUACUUUCAGCGGGGAGGAAGGGAGUAAAGUUAAUACCUUUGCUCAUUGACGUUACCCGCAGAAGAAGCACCGGCUAACUCCGUG
rnacentral:rRNA from 1 species